ACACGCUGCCGUUUCUGCAAAAGCGCAGGCGUUCGAUAGGCUCCCACAUUAGAUAACUUUCUAAGUACAGAUACAAUCAUCAUUAGUCGUUCGAAAAAGACUGUUUCUUUGUAUAAGGUGUUGAAAAAUUGUAUGGAAAAAAAGUUACAAAAGCUGAAUGAGACUAGACAGUAUUUUUUUAUUUUUUAUUCUUCGAAUAAUAUUUUUUUCAUUUUUUUAUGUUAAACAGUUUAAAGUAAAAAUAAGCGAAUUUAGGCUGAGGAGGAUAGGUAUUUGCGAACAAGUUUAGGAGGAGUAUAGCACGGAGAAGGUUGGAAGAAAUUGUUUGGAAGGAGGUUAUUGCAAGAAAGGCAGGGUUACAUACGAUGACCACAGAGAGAAGGAAGUAACAGAGGAUAGUGGAUAAAUAAGGCAGCCUGACUGAAAUUGAUUUAAUAUAUUUAUUAAAAUACCCUCCGCCUCCACCUAACCUAUACCUUGAACCACGGGAUUUUGUCUAUUAGAAUGUAAGGUUUAGUAAAUAAGUGAAAGGUAUUAUAUUAAUGGAUAAAGUUGUAUAUUUCAUAUGUGUAUAUUCUAAUAUAUAGAUAUAUAUAUUAAAAGAUGGAAGGUGGGAAAAUAA